UCAUGGUAGCCAGUCUGUAAAUUUAUGUUUUCCCUCUUUUCUAAUUGGGUUUAGAUCUGGUGGUGUCUCUAUUCCGGCCAAAUGCCCAUCAGAUAGGCCGUGACAUUCAGAGUUAAAGUUUUCAGACUCUGCUUGUUCCAACUUUCGUCAAGAUGGCAGUCUUAUGGUUUCUGAAUAUUGUAUAUAGGCCCCUGGAUCUCCAGCCCUGCAGAAGUGUUGUUUACAAUUGAUGAAGGAAAGAUAAUGGUAUAAAUAAUGGCCAGAAAAAAUAACCAGAACAAGGAGCAAAGGAUGCCACGAGAGCACUUAUAGAGGGGAGAAAAUUGUACUGGAGGAGAUAUUGCAACAUAUGGAAUAUACCAAAUGGGAAAGAAGAGGAUUCAUUCUCUUCAUCGUAAAUAAAACUAGGAAGGGUGGAAGGAAGAACAAAGUGCCUCACACUUGCCCUCUGCCUCCAUUUCAGGGUCCAGUGAAAAGAGGAAAACUCCAUGGAACUGCCUUGAAUCUCUUCAGUGGGAGAACAGGACCAUCCAUCUGUUAGUUAGAUGUGAAGCAGCCCUCAGUCUAUAUCAUAGAUAUGGUGGAGCUUGUUGACUCUUAUAAGAUCAUAACAAACCAAACUGAGCUUUUUUUGCUCCAGAAAAUACAAAGAAUGAUGAUUUUACGACGUCCCACGUUUGGCUAACUAAAGUACAUAGACGGGAUUGGAUACCCCUUUCCCCAAAUACAGUGCUUUCAUGUAGCUCAUAAAGUACGUACAAGUGGAGAUCAUCCCAUUCAAAGCAAGGGUGCUUCUUGGACCUAAGAAACUUGAACCACUCAUCAAGUGGAUUAUUAUGUGAACAAAAGGAAUACAGAAGAUUCUGCAAUGAAGAGUCAGGGGUCUUGAGUUCCUGAGCUUACAAAAUAAUAAUGAGCUUCCAUGGGGAAAAACCAUAUGCUUGACUUUGCAUAGUGCAUGCAUGCAUCUCAACCUUACGUCAGCAAUAAACAA